GACUCGGUAGCUCAGUUGGUAGAGCGGUGGGACGGAAUCCUGAAGUCGUGAGUUUAAUCCUUACUCCGGUUC